CAGCAGCCGCGGUAAUACGAAGGGGGCUAGCGUUGUUCGGAUUUACUGGGCGUAAAGGGCGCGUAGGCGGGCGAUUAAGUCAGAGGUGAAAUCCCAAGGCUCAACCUUGGAACUGCCUUUGAUACUGGUUGUCUUGAGUCCGGGAGAGGUGAGUGGAACUGCGAGUGUAGAGGUGAAAUUCGUAGAUAUUCGCAAGAACACCAGUGGCGAAGGCGGCUCACUGGCCCGGAACUGACGCUGAGGCGCGAAAGCGUGGGGAGCAAACAGGAUUAGAGACCCCUGUAGUCCCUGUCUCUUAUAU
rnacentral:rRNA from 1 species